rnacentral:snoRNA from 1 species
AACCUUCGCAGCCCCUCUUGAUGAUACCUCUUCCUGAGCGGCUCCAGUGAUGAGCAAACUGAGCCUCUAAGAAGUUGACUGAAGGGGCCGCUUCCUC